rnacentral:rRNA from 1 species
UUUUAUGGCCAUACACCCAGAAUAUGCCUGAUUUGGCCAGAUCUCAGGAAUUCAGCAGGGUCUAGCUUGGUUAGUAUUUGACUGGGAGAAAGAAAUAGAUAAAUGUAAAAA